AUUGAACGCUGGCGGCAGGCCUAACACAUGCAAGUCGAACGAGUGGCGGACGGGUGAGUAAUGUCUGGGAAACUGCCUGAUGGAGGGGGAUAACUACUGGAAACGGUAGCUAAUACCGCAUACCAUCGGAUGUGCCCAGAUGGGAUUAGCUAGUAGGUGGGGUAAAGGCUCACCUAGGCGACGAGCCCUAGCUGGUCUGCGAGGGUGACCGACAACACUGGAACUGAGACACGGUCCAUACGCCUACGGGAGGCAGCAGUGGGGAAGAUUGCACAAUGGGCGCAAGCCUGAUGCAGCCAUGCCGCGUGUAUGGAGAAGGCCUUCGGGUUGUAAAGUACUUUCAGCGGGGAGACGUUACCCGCAGAGGAAGCACCGGCUAACUCCGUGCCAGCAGCCGCGGUAAUUC
rnacentral:rRNA from 1 species